GAUGAAGAACGCAGCGAAAUGCGAUAAGUAAUGUGAAUUGCAGAAUUCAGUGAAUCAUCGAAUCUUUGAACGCACCUUGCGCCCUUUGGCCAUUCCGAAGGGCAUGCCUGUUUGAGUAUCAUGAACACCUCAACUCUUUAUGGUUUUCCAUGAUGAGCUUGGACUCUGGGGGUUUUGCUGGCCUAUGGGUCGGCUCCUCUCAAAUUAAUCAGCUUGCCAGUGUUUGGUGGCAUCACAGGUGUGAUAACUAUCUACGCUUGUGGUUUUCCAUCAGGUAACCUUCAGUGAUGGAGGUUCGCUGGGGCUCAUAAAUGUCUCUCCUCAGUGAGGACAGCUUUUUUGAACGUUUGAUCUCAAAUCAGGUAGGACUACCCGCUGAACUUAAGCAUAUCAAUAAGCGGAGGA
rnacentral:misc_RNA from 1 species